UUGAACGCUGGCGGCAGGCCUAACACAUGCAAGUCGAGCGGUAGCACAGAGAGCUUGCUCUCGGGUGACGAGCGGCGGACGGGUGAGUAAUGUCUGGGAAACUGCCUGAUGGAGGGGGAUAACUACUGGAAACGGUAGCUAAUACCGCAUAACGUCGCAAGACCAAAGUGGGGGACCUUCGGGCCUCAUGCCAUCAGAUGUGCCCAGAUGGGAUUAGCUAGUAGGUGGGGUAACGGCUCACCUAGGCGACGAUCCCUAGCUGGUCUGAGAGGAUGACCAGCCACACUGGAACUGAGACACGGUCCAGACUCCUACGGGAGGCAGCAGUGGGGAAUAUUGCACAAUGGGCGCAAGCCUGAUGCAGCCAUGCCGCGUGUGUGAAGAAGGCCUUCGGGUUGUAAAGCACUUUCAGCGGGGAGGAAGGCGAUAAGGUUAAUAACCUUGUCGAUUGACGUUACCCGCAGAAGAAGCACCGGCUAACUCCGUGCCAGCAGCCGCGGUAAUACGGAGGGUGCAAG
rnacentral:rRNA from 1 species